AUUGAACGCUGGCGGCAUGCCUUACACAUGCAAGUCGAACGGCAGCGGACCUUCGGGUGCCGGCGAGUGGCGAACGGGUGAGUAAUAUAUCGGAACGUACCUUUCAGUGGGGGAUAACGUAGGCGAAGGUUACGCUAAUACCGCAUAUUCUGUGAGCAGGAAAGCAGGGGAUCGCAAGACCUUGCGCUGAUUGAGCGGCCGAUAUCAGAUUAGCUAGUUGGUAGGUAACGCCUACCAAGGCGAUGAUCAGUAGGGGGCGUGAGAGCGUGGUCCCCCACACGGGUACUGAGACACGGACCCGACUCCACGGGAGGCAGCAGUAAGGAUAUUGGACAAUGGACGGAAGUCGUGAUCCAGCCAUGCCGCGUGAAGGAAGAAGGCGCUCAGCGUUGUAAACUUCUUUUGGAUGGGAAUAAUAACUGUCGACGUGCUCGGCACUUGAAGGUACCAUCAGAAUAAAGCACCGGCUAACUCCGUGCCAGCAGCCGUACGG
rnacentral:rRNA from 1 species